rnacentral:rRNA from 1 species
CCUACGUGUGGCAGCAGUGAGGAAUAUUGGUCAAUGGGCGUAAGCCUGAACCAGCCAAGUCGCGUGAGGGAUGAAGGUUCUAUGGUUUGUAAACCUCUUUUAUAAGGGAAUAAAGUGCGGGACGUGUCCCGUUUUGUAUGUACCUUAUGAAUAAGGCUCGGCUAACUCCGUGUCAGCAGCCGCGGUAAUCCGGAGGCACCGAGCGUUAUCCGGAUUUAUUGGGUUUAAAGGGUGCGUAGGCGGCCUUUUAAGUCAGUGGUGAAAGUUGGUGGCUCAACCAUAGAAUUGCCGUUGAAACUGGGAGGCUUGAGUAAGUUUGAGGCAGGCGGAAUGCGUGGUGUAGCGGUGAAAUGCUUAGAUAUCACGCAGAACCCCGAUGGCGAAGGCAGCCUGCCAAGCCAUAACUGACGCUGAUGCACGAAAGCGUGGGGAGCAAACAGGAUUAGAUACCCGAGUAGUC